rnacentral:misc_RNA from 1 species
AAGUCGUAACAAGGUUUCCGUAGGUGAACCUGCGGAAGGAUCAUUAACACGUAUCCAACGUUAAACCCCCCUGUGAACUUUUAUACUUGCUCUCUUAACUGACGGAAUUGCAAUCCCUGGUAAAUCAUUGUUGAACAGAUUUUGAUUCAGGGACCUCAGUUUGGCAGUUAGGAUUGAGCGAUCGUUGCAAGUGGCCUGGUUUCCCCAAGCAGUCAGUGUCUGAAAGUGGCAUUGAUUGCGUAAGGAUAACGCUUUUCGAUCACUGGAGGCCGACACCGGCCGGUGACCAGGUCGCCGUGGCUUCGCUACCUGAUUCCGCCUCGUAGGAAACUGCUGGGCAACAAAACGAACAACUGUUAACAAUGGAUAUCUUGGUUCUC